rnacentral:rRNA from 1 species
GAGUUUGAUCGUGGCUCAGGAUGAACGCUAGCGGCAGGCUUAACACAUGCAAGUCGAGGGGUAUAGGUUUUCGGACCUAGAGACCGGCGCACGGGUGCGUAACGCGUAUGCAAUCUGCCUUUUACAGAGGGAUAGCCCAGAGAAAUUUGGAUUAAUACCUCAUAGUAUUAUAGAGUGGCAUCAUUUUAUAAUUAAAGUUCCAACGGUAAAGAUGAGCAUGCGUCCCAUUAGCUAGAUGGUAAGGUAACGGCUUACCAUGGCGACGAUGGGUAGGGGUCCUGAGAGGGAGAUCCCCCACACUGGUACUGAGACACGGACCAGACUCCUACGGGAGGCAGCAGUGAGGAAUAUUGGUCAAUGGGCGCAAGCCUGAACCAGCCAUGCCGCGUGCAGGAUGACGGUCCUAUGGAUUGUAAACUGCUUUUGUACAGGAAGAAACAGUUCUACGUGUAGAACCUUGACGGUACUGUAAGAAUAAGGAUCGGCUAACUCCGUGCCAGCCG